UACGUAGGGUGCGAGCGUUAAUCGGAAUUACUGGGCGUAAAGCGUGCGCAGGCGGUUUUGUAAGCCGGAUGUGAAAUCCCCGGGCUUAACCUGGGAAUGGCAUUCGGGACUGCAAGGCUGGAGUGCGGCAGAGGAGACUGGAAUUCCUGGUGUAGCAGUGAAAUUCGUAGAUAUUAGGAAGAACACCAGUGGCGAAGGCGGCUCACUGGCCCGGUACUGACGCUGAGGCGCGAAAGCGUGGGGAGCAAACAGG
rnacentral:rRNA from 1 species